GAUGAACGCUGGCGGCGUGCUUAACACAUGCAAGUCGAACGGAAAGGCCACAGCUUGCUGUGGUACUCGAGUGGCGAACGGGUGAGUAACACGUGGGUGAUCUGCCCUGUACUUCGGGAUAAGCUUGGGAAACUGGGUCUAAUACCGGAUAGGAAUCACAUGUGGGUGUGUGGUUGGAAAGCUUUUGCGGUAUGGGAUGAGCUCGCGGCCUAUCAGCUUGUUGGUGGGGUAACGGCCUACCAAGGCGUCGACGGGUAGCCGGCCUGAGAGGGUGUACGGCCACAUUGGGACUGAGAUACGGCCCAGACUCCUACGGGAGGCAGCAGUGGGGAAUAUUGCACAAUGGGCGCAAGCCUGAUGCAGCGACGCCGCGUGGGGGAUGACGGCCUUCGGGUUGUAAACUCCUUUCGUCAGGGACGAAGCGAAAGUGACGGUACCUGGAUAAGAAGCACCGGCUAACUACGUG
rnacentral:rRNA from 1 species